CAAAUACUCUAUCCGUUACAAAAAAUUUGUCUUAAAUUUGUCUAGAUAUGAUUGUAUCUAGUCACGUUUUAGUAUUUAGAUACAUUUAUUUUUAAAUAAAGCUAAGACAAAAAUUUUGAGACGAAGGAAGUAUAUA
rfam:Hordeum vulgare subsp. vulgare, WGS project CAJW01000000 data, contig: morex_contig_42458